rnacentral:rRNA from 1 species
GCCCUUAUGGGCUGGGCUACACACGUGCUACAAUGGCGGUGACAGAGGGGAGCGAGACCGCGAGGUGGAGCCAAUCCCCAAAAACCGUCUCAGUUCGGAUUGUACUCUGCAACUCGAGUGCAUGAAGGCGGAAUCGCUAGUAAUCGCGGAUCAGCAUGCCGCGGUGAAUACGUUCCCGGGCCUUGUACACACCGCCCGUCACACCAUGGGAGUUGGCUUUACCCGAAGACGGUGCGCCAACCGCAAGGGGGCAGCCGGCCACGGUAAGGUCAGCGACUGGGGUGAAGUCGUAACAAGGUAGCCGUAGGGG